UGUCUAAACGACUCUCGGCAACGGAUAUCUCGGCUCUCGCAUCGAUGAAGAACGUAGCGAAAUGCGAUACUUGGUGUGAAUUGCAGAAUCCCGUGAACCAUCGAGUCUUUGAACGCAAGUUGCGCCCGAAGCCAUUAGGCCGAGGGCACGCCUGCCUGGGCGUCACACGUCGUUGCCCCC
rnacentral:rRNA from 1 species